CCGACUUUAGCUCAGUUGGUAGAGCGCAAGACUGUAAAGGAAACAUUAAAUCUUGAUGCCGCCUGUUCGAUCCAGGCAAGUCGGA
rfam:Termitomyces sp. J132 unplaced genomic scaffold scaffold151, whole genome shotgun sequence.